GAUGAACGCUGGCGGCGCGCCUAAUACAUGCAGGUCGAGCGAAUGGAUUGAGAGCUUGCUCUUAUGAAGUUAGCGGCGGACGGGUGAGUAACACGUGGGUAACCUGCCCAUAAGACUGGGAUAACUCCGGGAAACCGGGGCUAAUACCGGAUAACAUUUUGAACCGCAUGGUUCGAAAUUGAAAGGCGGCUUCGGCUGUCACUUAUGGAUGGACCCGCGUCGCAUUAGCUAGUUGGUGAGGUAACGGCUCACCAAGGCAACGAUGCGUAGCCGACCUGAGAGGGUGAACGGCCACACUGGGACUGAGACACGGCCCAGACUCCUACGGGAGGCAGCAGUAGGGAAUCUUCCGCAAUGGACGAAAGUCUGACGGAGCAACGCCGCGUGAGUGAUGAAGGCUUUCGGGUCGUAAAACUCUGUUGUUAGGGAAGAACAAGUGCUAGUUGAAUAAGCUGGCACCUUGACGGUACCUAACCAGAAAGCCACGGCUAACUACGUGCCAGCCGCCGCCGUAA
rnacentral:rRNA from 1 species